rnacentral:rRNA from 1 species
UACGUAGGGGGCAAGCGUUGUCCGGAAUCAUUGGGCGUAAAGAGCUCGUAGGCGGUCUGUCGCGUCGGCUGUGAAAACUCGGGGCUCAACUCCGAGCUUGCAGUCGAUACGGGCAGGCUAGAGUUCGGCAGGGGAGACUGGAAUUCCUGGUGUAGCGGUGAAAUGCGCAGAUAUCAGGAGGAACACCGGUGGCGAAGGCGGCUCACUGGUCCGGUACUGACGCUGAGGUGCGAAAGCGUGGGGAGCAAACGGG